rnacentral:rRNA from 1 species
AUUGAACGCUGGCGGCAGGCCUAACACAUGCAAGUCGAACGGAGUGGCGGACGGGUGAGUAAUGUCUGGGAAACUGCCUGAUGGAGGGGGAUAACUACUGGAAACGGUAGCUAAUACCGCAUACUAUCAGAUGAGCCUAGGUCGGAUUAGCUAGUGGGUGGGGUAAAGGCCUACCAAGGCGAAGAUCCGUACCUGGUCUGAGAGGAUGAUCAGUCACACUGGAACUGAGACACGGUCCAUACUCCGACGGGAGGCAGCAGUGGGGAAUAUUGGACAAUGGGCGAAAGCCUGAUCCAGCCAUGCCGCGUGUGUGAAGAAGGUCUUCGGAUUGUAAAGCACUUUAAGUUGGGAGGCGUUACCAACAGAAUAAGCACCGGCUAACUUCGUGCCAGCAGCCGCGGUAAUUC